rnacentral:rRNA from 1 species
UACGGAGGGAGCUAGCGUUGUUCGGAAUUACUGGGCGUAAAGCGCACGUAGGCGGCUUUGUAAGUUAGAGGUGAAAGCCCGGGGCUCAACCCCGGAAUUGCCUUUAAGACUGCAUCGCUUGAAUCCGGGAGAGGUGAGUGGAAUUCCGAGUGUAGCGGUGGAAUGCGUAGAGAUCCGGAAGAACACCGGUGGCGAAGGCGGCCCGCUGGGCUGUUGCUGACGCUGAGGCGCGACAGCGUGGGGAGCAAACAGG